CACCGCGGUUAUACGAAAGACUCAAGCUGACAGAAGCCGGCGUAAAGAGUGGUUAGGAGAUUAGCAAACUAAAGCCGAAUGUAUUCUUAGCUGUUUAACGCAUUCGAAAAUGAGAAGCCCAAUUACGAAAGUAGCUUUAAAUUUCUGACGCCACGAAAGCUAUGAAA
rnacentral:rRNA from 1 species